rnacentral:rRNA from 1 species
GAAUAAGGUAUAAAGGGCAUACGGUGGAUGCCUUGGCACCAGUAGCCGAUGAAGGACGUGGCAAGCUGCGAAAAGCUGUGGGGAGGUGCAAGCGACCAUUGAUCCGCAGAUAUCCGAAUGGGGCAACCCGCCUGUAGGAGUACAGGCAUCCCGUAAGCAAAGUAACCCGGCGAAGUGAAACAUCUCAGUAGCCGGAGGAAGAGAAAUCGAAGAGAUUCCCUGAGUAGUGGUGAGCGAAAGGGGAAGAGCCUAAACCGAAUACAUGUCAAGACUGCGGUCGUUGUGUAUUUGGGGUCGAGGGAAUGUCAAAGUGAGUCCGCAGGCUCACGACAGAGUUAUCAAUACAUUUUCUAGUUGAAGUGUGUUGGGAAAGCACGCCAUAGAAGGUGACAGCCCUGUAGGUGACAGGAAAUGUACUCUGUAGACAUCUCCCGAGUAGGCCGGAGCACGUGGAAUUCCGGUUGAAUCAGGGUGGACCAUCAUCCAAGGCUAAAUACUACUGGUGACCGAUAGUGAAUCAGUACCGAGAGGGAAAGGUGAAAAGCACCCCUGGCGGGGAGUGAAAUAGACCUGAACCCGUGUGCCUACAAGCAAUCGGAGCGCAACCAUACAGCGAUGUAUGGCGCGUGACGGUGUGCCUUUUGUAAAAUGAGCCGACGAGUUAUUAGACGUAGCGAGGUUAAGGUGCGUUAGCACUGGAGCCGUAGGGAAACCGAGUCUGAAUAGGGCGCGAGUUUCGUUUAAUAGACCCGAAGCCGUACGAUCUAUCCAUGGCCAGGUUGAAGUCCGGGUGAAGCCGGAUGGAGGACCGAACCAUUGUCUGUUGAAAAAGACUUGGAUGAGCUGUGGAUAGGAGUGAAAAGCUAAUCGAGUGCGGUGAUAGCUGGUUCUCCCCGAUAUGCAUUGAGGUGCAGCCUUGCGAGUUCAGUUAUGGGGGUAGAGCACUGGAUGGAUGCGGGGAGCUGGGGUCCUACCAAAUUCAACCAAACUUCGAAUACCAUAACUGUAUUGCAGGAGUGAGACUACGGGUGAGAAGGUCCGUGGUCGUGAGGGAAACAGCCCAGACCGUCAGCUAAGGUCCCAAAGUGUAUGCUAAGUGUGGCAAGGAUGUGAGAGUGCCUGGACAGCCAGGAGGUUGGCUUAGAAGCAGCCACCCUUUAAAGAGUGCGUAACAGCUCACUGGUCGAGGACUUUUGCGCCGAAAAUGUAGGGGGCUAAGCAUACUGCCGAAGCUGCGGGAUAAUUGAUGAGUAUCAACUAUCGGUAGGGGAGCGUUCUGUACGGGGUGAAGCCGAACCGAGAGGUCGUGUGGACUGUAUGGAAGUGAGAAUGUCGGCAUAAGUAACGAGAAGUGCGUGAGAAACGUACUCACCGGAAGCCCAAGGGUUCCUGGGGAAGGUUCAUCCACCCAGGGUUAGGCGGGACCUAAGGCGAGGCUGAAGAGCGUAGUCGAUGGAUAGCAGGUAGACAUUCCUGCCCCAGCCUGAGACCGUUAUUACUGAAGGGGUGACACAGAAAGCUAGGUGAUCCGGGUGAUGGAAUACCCGGUCCAAGGGAGUAGGAAGGCAUUGCAGGCAAAUCCGCGAUGUUAGUUCUGAGACCUGAAGGGGAGGUUCUACGGAACCGAAGUCAUUGAAGCUCGGCUGUCGAGAAAAGCCUCUAGGGAGGUCUUAAGCUGCUCGUACCCGAAACCGACGCAGGUGGGCUAGCUGAGAAGGCUAAGGUGAGCGGGAAAACCCUCGUUAAGGAACUCUGCAAGUUGACCCCGUAACCUAGGGAGAAGGGGUGCCACUCUGGUGAUGUGUAUAUACGAUACAGAGCUAAGGGUGGUCGCAGAAACCAGGCUCAGGCGACUGUUUACUAAAAACAUAGGUCUCUGCAUAAGGCGCAAGCCGAAGUAUAGGGACUGACACCUGCCCGGUGCUGGAAGGUUAAAUGGAGAGGUUAGCGUAAGCGAAGCUUUGAUAUGAAGCCCCAGUAAACGGCGGCCGUAACUAUAACGGUCCUAAGGUAGCGAAAUUCCUUGUCGGGUAAGUUCCGACCUGCACGAAUGGUGUAACGAUCUGAGCACUGUCUCAACGAGGGACCCGGUGAAAUUGUGGUACUGGUAAAGACGCCAGUUACCUGUGGUGGGACGGAAAGACCCCGUGGAGCUUUACUGUAGCCUGAUAUUGGAUUUUGGUCUGUUAUGUACAGGAUAGGUGGGAGGCUGUGAAUGCAGGACGUCAGUUUUGCAGGAGCCGUUGUUGGGAUACCACCCUUGACAUGCCGAAGUUCUAACUUUGAGGUCUGAAACGACACAGAGGACAGUGUCAGGUGGGCAGUUUGACUGGGGCGGUCGCCUCCUAAAGAGUAACGGAGGCGCGCAAUGGUCACCUCAGGGCGCAUGGAAAUCGCCCAUAGAGAGCGCAAAGGUAUAAGGUGGCUUGACUGUGAGAGAGACGUUUCGAGCAGGAACGAAAGUUGGUCUUAGUGAUCCGGCGGUUCCGAGUGGAAGGGCCGUCGCUCAACGGAUAAAAGCUACCCCGGGGAUAACAGGCUGAUCCUGCCCGAGAGUUCCUAUCGACGGCAGGGUUUGGCACCUCGAUGUCGGCUCGUCGCAUCCUGGGGCUGAAGCAGGUCCCAAGGGUUGGUCUGUUCGCCCAUUAAAGCGGUACGUGAGCUGGGUUUAGAACGUCGUGAGACAGUUCGGUCCCUAUCCACCAUAGGCGUAGGGUAUUUGAGGAGAUCUGCUUCUAGUACGAGAGGACCGAAGUGGACGAACCUCUGGUGUACCGGUUGUAGCGCCAGCUGCAUAAGCCGGGUAGCUAUGUUCGGGUCGGAUAACCGCUGAAGGCAUCUAAGCGGGAAGCCGCCUCCAAGAUGAGAUACCCCAUUCCGAUAGGGAAGUAAGGUGUCCUGAAGACGACAGGAUAGAUAGGCCGGGAGUGUACGAGUUGUGAGGCUCUUAGCUGACCGGUACUAAUACAUCGAGGCCUUAUUCUC